rnacentral:rRNA from 1 species
CAGCGCGUAUAGUAGGUGCAGCGUGUCGGAAUAUGGGGUAAGAGUUGUGGCGUUGUCGGUCGUCGGAAACUCACGCUAACGUGAGCUGCGGCGAACGGCAGACUGAUUCGUAGGGAGACGGAAUCCUGUGAGCGUGAAUGGCAGAAUCAGAGGACACCGUGCGAGGCGGUCUCUGGCCGAUAUGACGCGAGGAGCGAAAGCGUGGGAGCAACAGGAUAGAUACCUGGUGUCCACGCGUAAACGUGGGCGCUAGGUGUGGCGACAUCCACGUGUCCGGCCGUAGCAACGCAUAAGCGCCCGCCUGGGAGUACGGCCGCAAGGCUAAACUCAAGGAAUGACGGGGCCCGCACAAGCGGCGGAGCAUGUGGAUUAUUCGAUGCAACGCGAAGAACCUACCUGGGCUGACAUGCGCCAGACAUCCCUAGAGAUAGGGCUUCCCUUGUGGUUGGUUACAGGUGGGUCAUGGCUGUCGUCAGCUCGUGUCGUGAGAUGUUGGGUUAAGUCCCGCAACGAGCGCAACCCUUAUCCUACGUUGCCAGCGCGUUAUGGCGGGGACUCGUGGGAGACUGCCGGGGUCAACUCGGAGGAAGGUGGGGAUGACGUCAAGUCAUCAUGCCCCUUAUGUCCAGGGCUUCACACAUGCUACAAUGGCUGGUACAGAGGGCUGCGAUACCGCGAGGUGGAGCGAAUCCCUUAAAGCCGGUCUCAGUUCGGAUCGCAGUCUGCAACUCGACUGCGUGAAGUCGGAGUCGCUAGUAAUCGCAGAUCAGCAACGCUGCGGUGAAUACG